UUUGAGGAAAAUCAAAUUUCGCGCGUUUUGUGACCACGCAGAUUUGUUCUUCGACGCAUGCGCAGUUGACUUCCCGUCUUGAAUUUCCCUGGAUAACCCUCAAACUUUCAAACUUCGCGACUGCAGUCGCGAGACUGUUACAUCAUUUUUUUUCUUUUUUGUUACGAGCCUCGAAUCAACCAAUUUAGCCUGAAUUGCAAGGAUCGCUAUAAUUUUCAAUUUUGCACGGAUAUUAUUAACCAGGCAUUAUAUUUUCUCAGAUGACGAAUAUAUCGUGCGAAUAUCCCCCCUCCUCUCCGACGCCACGCAAGAGCAUACAGAUAAAAGAACUGUUUUUCACAGAUCUCAGAAACGACUUUUCUUGAUAUUGUUCCAGAAACAAUAACCUUGAUCUCCAAUAACCAUGUGACCUAGGAAAUACUCUCAAACGAGCAACAAUUAUUAUCAAGCUGCUUGUAUUGAGAAUCAAUUUUCCGUAAGUCUGGAGGAUCGUGUUUCAACAUAAACUGUAUCAACUGUAUCAUCUGAUUCGCGUGAUUCUCAAGCAGGAUAUCAGCGUGCAUAUCAAUAAAUACGGUUAAUCGUCAUUCAGAAACGCAAUCACAUUCUUACGUAACUGAGACCGUAAAUGAUGCCCACUGUGCGUUUUUGUUUGCACGCUUUGGACGAGGAAGGAACAAUAACAAGCUCGACUCUCCACCGACCACAACAUUGAAACUCGAUCGUUCAAGUAUCCCAAAAUCUUUUCCUCCUUGUUAAUUCUCUGUUUUUUUUUUAAACAGGUGUUGCAACGAGUGCCCAGUGUCAACGAUGUUACGUAACCGGUGAACGAUGUUACAAAGAAAAUCAGAGGCAAGAUGCAAAUAACAAACGACCAAUUUUCAACGAGUUCGAAAAAAAGUGAAUGUCGUGUAUUUUCGAUGAAGCAGCAAUUAAUCUAUUUUCGACUGAUUUUGAUUAAUAGCUCCGUCUCUCGUUGACGAUGCGAUAUGAUCCGAGACUCGAAUCUGCUUCUUUAAAUUUGAAGAUUGAACAAGCUACAGUCCCGUUUCUACUCGCACGUGCAACUCGAGUUGGAAAGAAGAAUAGAUAAAAAAGAAUUUAGAGUAAACAGAGAGCCGCAGUAGAAUUUCCUAAUUUCUAGAAAGAGAAGGAGAGCUUUUUCAGAUGUAUAAAAGAAAGAAGAAGACCUAGUUAUUGGCAACGUUUCUCAAAA